AGUUACACGCGCCCGCGUUCCAGAAAAUAGCCUAGUACCUUCCUUCAACUGGCGGAACGUUGAACUCAGCAGGCGUGCCGCUGCCGUCAUAGUAGGAACAUAGAGAAAGAAAUUUCUUUCUCUAUGGUAGGAAACUCUCUAUCUGCCGUCGGUUCGCUCGGCUCCCGUCGCCUGCGUACCGUUUGUUUCGCUGGCGAAUCAUAGAGGGCGAACUACGGCGUCUGUUGCGCUCUGCACAUCGGUCCACAUUGCUCUACUCGCUCGAGCGGCCGGACGUUCUAGGUUUUCUCCGAAUAGGUUGCAGUUGCUGAUUGGUCAGUAUGGCUGGACCGACGCCAGUGCAGGUGCAUAUUGAGUACUGUGGUGGAUGAGGGUACGCCCCUCGCUUUCAGGAGCUAAGGAACCAAAUCCUUGUCAGAGUACCAACUGCCAACGUGACUGGCACAGUAGGACGCCAAACGUCCUUUGAAGUGACAAUAAAUAAUGUCCUGGUAUACUCUAAGCUCGUAAAGGGUAACUUUCCUGACUUUGAAGAGGUUGUCCAGCGAGUACUUGACGCCAGCCUUGGCAAGGAGGUGAAGCCUUGCGUGAAGCUUGGUGCGAGCGGCAAAUGCUCUUUGUUAUAGCACGGCACCUCAUUGGGUGCUCUCUGCGCAUUUGCUCUGCCAGUUGACCAUGCAGUUGGCCUUCCUGAACAAUAGCUGAAGGCUUUGGAAAGCGCAUUUAUGAUGGCUUGACCCCAAAUCUUGAAAGAGUCUUGCCUGAAGAACCAGCGUGUUCCUGCCCGGCGCUACUUGCUGUGUGAAAGCCACUCAUGUAUGGACCUUGUGGAAGCUUUCUCCAUAGCGGUUGCAACUGAUCGGCGAGAGCUGGGCCAUGGCUGGAGCGAAGCCAGUUAAAGUAGUCGUUGAGUAUUGUGGGGGAUGAGGAUACAGCCCUCGCUUCGAGGAACUGAAGAAGCAGAUCCUUGCGAAGCUGCCAAAUGCCACUGUGACUGGCACCGUAGGACGCAACACAUCCUUCGAAGUAGAAAUCAAUGGUGUCCAGGUAUUCUCUAAGCUCCAAAAGGGUGCCUUUCCUGACUUUGGAGAGGUUGUUGCUCGAGCUGUGGAUGCCAGCCAAGGGAAAGCUGUACAGGCUGUAACCGGUGUGCAGAAGUAGUUCAGAGGACGGCCCAUGGCUCGAAGAUCCCUGUCGGAACCUUUCAGACAUGUGUCGACUAUACACCCUUGUGCCUGCGGCCCGUUGUUCACCGUCCCUUCGCACUUGCUCUGCCAGUUGGCCAUGCAGUUGGCCUAACUGAACAAUAGCUGAAGGCCUUGGAAUGCGUAUGAAUGAUGGCUUGACCCCAAAUCUUGAAAAGGGUCUUGCUUGAAGAACCAGCGUGUUCCUGCCUGCUGCUACUUGCUCUGUGAAAGCCAUUCAUGUGUGGACUUCGUAGAAGUAAAUGAAUUUUUAAAAAAUUUGU